GUAAAAGGUCUUGUUUGAAUAAUUGGUUGGCAAAGUAUUUUGGUAAAUAAGUAGCGAGAAGGAAAUUUUAAUUUAACUAUAGAAAAUAGUACUGUGAAGGAAGGAUGAAAUAUUUGAAAAUUUAAUAGUGUAAAAGUAAAGGCUAAGUCUUGUACCUUGUGUAUCAGGGGCGGUUAAUAUAAAGUAUUUAAGGGGCAAGUCUCGAAAGAAGGAGAGCUAAAUAAAAAAGAAGGUCCUUGUAGCAAAAAGGUCUUUAAUUUAAUUUUAGGAGUGAUAUGCUAACCGAGCCUUUUUAUAUCUAGUUCUCUCAGAAAUAAUUUUAAUUUAGUGGGUACUCUUUUAGUAGGUAAGUAUUUGGGGGGGAAGGGCAGAGCUUUUUAUCUAAUUUUUUUUGUUUUAUAGGAAUAAAAGGGCGGUAGGAUUUAGCUAGGCUUAGAAGUAGCUGGGCUGGUAAAGUGUUAUAACUAAAAUUUUAAUUUAUUCAUUUUUUUUAUUCUUUAAAAAAGUAUGAGGGGGUAUUUAUAGGCCUAGUAUAAAUUAUAGAAAAUGGAGGCAUCAGUAUAAGCAUCUUAUAGGGCAUUAAGUUUAGAAUAUUUAAGGAUUUUAUAAGAAGGGGGGCCUCUUUAAGGAAUUCAGCAAAAGUUAUUCCCGCCUGUUUAACAAAAACAUGUCUGUAUGAGAGAUUUAUAAAGUCUGGCCUGCCCAUUGGGAAACUAAAAGGCCGCGGUAUUGUGACCGUGCGAAGGUAGCAUAAUCAUUAGUCUUUUAAUUAAAGGCUUGUAUGAAUGGUUGAACGAGGAAUAAGCUGUCUCUAUUAGGUUAGUUGAACUUAACUUUUAAGUGAAAAGGCUUAAAUGAUCUAGAGGGACGAUAAGACCCUAUAAAGUUUUACAUCACAUCUAUUAUAAAAUGGGUUGGAUAAAAAAGAUUUGCUAGUAGUUCGAUGUUUUGUUGGGGUGACAAGAAUAUAAGGGAUAUAACUGUUCUUUAAAAACCAAAUAUAUUUGUUUAAGUGAUCUUGAAUUUUAAGUGUUAGAAUAAAUUACUUUAGGGAUAACAGCGUUAUUUUUUUUAAGAGUUCUUAUCAACAAAAAAGUUUGCGACCUCGAUGUUGAAUUAAAGGUUCUUUGAGAUGCAGAGGUCUCAAAAGAGGGUCUGUUCGACCUUUAAAUCUUUACAUGAUUUGAGUUCAAACCGGUGUGAGCCAGGUUGGUUUCUAUCUUCUAGGGGAAGGGAAUUAUUUUAGUACGAAAGGAUUAAAUAAUUUAAAUAAUUUAUUUAGACAAAAUUUGAGGCUAAAAAAUUAAUUUUUAUUUAUUUGAAAGAAGGCCAAAUUCAGAAAAAAGAAACCCCUUCUUGU
rnacentral:rRNA from 1 species